AUGGGGAACAAUUUCAGCGAACAAAUCUGUUGUGUGACUUGUGGGAGAUGUAAGAAGCGGGAGGCAGAGGAAGCAACUGAAGAGACCAGUGAGACCAAGCCAAUUUUGCAGACCUCAGGGGAAACAUCAAUAUGCAUUGACAAGCAGCCUCCCACACAGGUCCUGAAAUCCUCCAAAAGAGGCCCUGAAGAGGUGUGGUCACUGUGCCAGGACCCAAGGCUGUUGGCUGGCACUGUGAAGGACAGCAGAGAGACCUACCCUGAUGCAGAACCUGUGGGAAUAGCUGAGGGUCAGAAGGCAGCCUGGGACUCUACAGCUUUCUUGGUGGCCUCUGCAGUUAUGGAGACCAAUGGAGAAGCUGAAGUCUUAACCCAAAUAGAAAACCAGCAAGAAAGGGAGAAAGCAGGUAACACAGAAGAGAGAAAAACUAUUCCUCAGGCUUCUGAGGCCCAGCCGGUUUUAUACACAGCUCAGGAUGUUAAGCUUAUUGCAGAUAUAGGACAAUCUGGUGAAUGGGCUGUGACGGCCAGUGAGGAUGCCCCAUGUGCUGAAAUGGCUCUCCAAGAAACAGAUCUCCUCAAGCUCAUGCAGGCCACAGGUGAGACUGCAGCUGGCCCCAGCUGUGAGAUCCAGCCUCCUGCAGAGACUGGUGAGAGUCUGAUGGGAAGGAACCUGUCACUGUAUGCUGUGCUGAUGGUAGAGGAGACUGGGACCUACCCCUCUGCUGAGCACACGGAAGAGACGGAUGGGGCUAAGCCUGCUGAAGUAAGUCCUCAAUUGAUCGAGAGGGCCGAGCUUUUGUGUCUCUCUGAGACAGCAUCUCUACCUCUGGUGCAGGCUACACAAAAGGCUAAGGAGACAGUGGAUCCUUCAGAAGUCUUACCAAAAGAUAUGGCUGAAAUGGAAUUUACUUCUGUGAUCUCUUGUGAGUCCCUGUCUACAGGAGGGAAAUCUCUAGAGCCAGCAAACCAGCUUCUUGACUCUUUAUGGCAAGAGACCCAGCCUAGUGUGCUGACUGCACAGGAGGUGCAGAGCCUAUGUUGUACAGAGCCUGCUGAACUAGGGGAGGUUGUUGGUCCUUCAGGUGACCAAGAUAGAGUCAUCUGUCAUCUGGUGGAAGAUGAAGAGGUGAGGGAAAGUGAUCCAAAAACUCCAGCAGCUGAGGCAGGGCAGCAGCACAGAGUCAUGCAGCAAGUCACAGAUGAACCAUUACCUUGUACAGAGAUCUCUGUGGAAGAGAAAGCAGAGUCCCUGAAUGUGGCACCCUUGCUGUCUGAAGUACUUGGAGUGGAGGAAAAGUAG
rnacentral:lncRNA from 1 species